AGUUUCUCUCUUAUCCAUCAGACCGACUAGAUGAAAAAUUUGAAAAUGCAAUCCCUCAAACAAGCACAACGCCGCCUUCAAUUUCUCUCUCAUCCGUCAGAGAAAUCGAUUAUCAUCUCUCCUCUACUUCAACAAGCCUAUGCAUCAUCAUCAUCAUCAUCGAGUGAAAUUGAGAAACCCACCAAUUCAAAACUAGCGCUAACACAACAAGAGCUAACUAAAAUCAAUCUUUUGAUCCCUCGCCUAUGCCUUUCUGACCAUCUAAGCACAGCAAUCCACCUAACUGCUACUGCCCUUCUCACAAAUCCAGCUUACAAAUCCAUAUCUUUCUCCAUUCUGAUUCAUUCCCUCACUUCCCAACCUGACAUGACCAAAUCCAUGUCACUUCUUACCAUUCUUAGACACACCCCACAAGCCCAUCCUCAUCUCACUCGCAUCACUGUCAUGCUCGUUAGCUCAUAUGUCAAAAAGAAGAGACCCAAAGAAGCCUACAAAUUGUACCAAUGGAUGCUCAGGCCUGGCUUUCCAUGUAAAGUGGAAAAGAUUGUGUAUAAGCUUUUGGUUAAUGGGUUUUGCGAAUGUGGGUUGAUUCUUGAGGCUUUCAGGGUUUUGAGGGAUAUGGUGGGUGUGGGUUUUGUGCCUGGUUCUGGAUUAAGGAGAAGGGUUUAUAGGAGCUUGUUGAGAGAGGCUAGGGUAUGGGAGGCAGUUAGGUUGGAUGAGGCUUUGCGCAGUUAUUUUGGUGAUGCUAAUAGUGAGGGUGUUAAAAAGGUGAUGGAAUUGUUGGAUUCUACGAUUGGGAGCUGGACAGAGUAGGAAAAGAUUGUAGAAUUUACUCAGUAUGUUGAAAUCGUCCUUUAAGCUUUGACAAUGAAAGAUAAAUUUUUUCUCUAUAAGGAUGAGACCUUCUUCAACUAAGAUUCUGAUAUGGUAUCUAUGCGGUAUCUGAUGCUGCCGUGAGUCCAGAUGUCCAGUCAGACAGCCCAUUCAGCGUGUGAACAAAGAAAAUAGUGAGGUAAUGGAGAAUUGAAAGUGUCUGUUGACCAAAUUGCAGCUGAAAUCUCGUCGUGGCCAAACUGUCUUCAGCUUAUGGGAAGCUAAAAUUAUUAUGUGAAUUUUUAGCAUCGCUUGCCUAAAGCCAAAUUGACAUGGAGGUUCCCAAAUUACUUUCCAACUUAUUUGGCCGUCACGUGUCAAUCUUUGAAAUCGACAGUCUUCCCUAGUUCAUACUACAUAUUUGUGAGGCAAUUUGCUCUCUCAAUGCAGGUUGUUUAGUGUUGCCAUACCCACCCCAGGGCAUCAAGCUAUGGUUUCACCUUCUUUUUGUUCUCACUACUGUGAAUAUUGUAUUUAUUUUUGAAUUAGAAUUUGCUCUCAAAUGAGUUUUCUGCCA